rnacentral:rRNA from 1 species
CUACGGGAGGCAGCAGUGAGGAAUAUUGGUCAAUGGGCGAGAGCCUGAACCAGCCAAGUAGCGUGCAGGAUGACGGCCCUAUGGGUUGUAAACUGCUUUUAUAAGGGAAUAAAGUGAGCCUCGUGAGGCUUUUUGCAUGUACCUUAUGAAUAAGGACCGGCUAAUUCCGUGCACAGAAACCGCGGUAAUACGAAAGAGACCGGGCGUUAUCCGGAUUUAUUGGGUUUAAAGGGAGCGUAGGCCGGAGAUUAAGCGUGUUGUGAAAUGUAGAUGCUCAACAUCUGCACUGCAGCGCGAACUGGUUUCCUUGAGUACGCACAAAGUGGGCGGAAUUCGUAGUGUAGCGGUGAAAUGCUUAGAUAUCACGAAGAACUCCGAUUGCGAAGGCAGCUCACUGGAGCGCAACUGACGCUGAAGCACGAAAGUGCGGGUAUCGAACAGGAUUAGAUACCCUGGUAGUCCGCACGGUAAACGAUGGAUG